GACGAACGCUGGCGGCGUGCCUAAUACAUGCAAGUCGAACGCAGUGGGGACGGGUGAGUAACACGUGGGUAACCUCCCAUCAGAGGGGAUAACACUUGGAAACAGGUGCUAAACCGAUACUGAUGGAUGGACCCGCGGUGCAUUAGCUAGUUGGUGAGGUAACGGCGCACCAAGGCCACGAUGCAUAGCCGCCCGGGGAUGGUGUCCGGCCACCAUGGGACUGAGACACGGCCCAGACUCCUCCGGGAGGCAGCAUUGGGGAAUCUGGGACAAUGGACGAAAGUCGGACCGAGCAACGCCGCGUGAGUGAAGAAGGUUUUCGGAUCGUAAAACCCUGUUGUUAGGAAAGCGGUAUCUAACCAAAAAGCCACGGCUAACUACGUGCCAGCAGCCGCGGUAAUAC
rnacentral:rRNA from 1 species